rnacentral:rRNA from 1 species
CUACGGGAGGCUCCAGUGGGGAAUAUUGCACAAUGGGCGCAAGCCUGAUGCAGCCAUGCCGCGUGUAUGAAGAAGGCCUUCGGGUUGUAAAGUACUUUCAGCGGGGAGGAAGGGAGUAAAGUUAAUACCUUUGCUCAUUGACGUUACCCGCAGAAGAAGCACCGGCUAACUCCGUGCCAGCAGCCGCGGUAAUACGGAGGGUGCAAGCGGUAAUCGGAAUUACUGGGCGUAAAGCGCACGCAGGCGGUUUGUUAAGUCAGAUGUGAAAUCCCCGGGCUGAACCUGGGAACUGCAUCGGAUAGUGGCAAGCUUGAGUCUGGUAGAGGGGGGUAGAAUUCCAGGUGUAGCGGUGACAUGCGUAGAGAUCUGGAGGAAUACCGGUGGCGAAGGCGGCCCCCUGGACGAAGACUGACGCUCAGGUGCGAAAGCGUGGGGAGCAAACAGGAUUAGAUACCCUCGUAGUC